rnacentral:rRNA from 1 species
UAAAAGUCGUAACAAGGUUUCCGUAGGUGAACCUGCGGAAGGAUCAUUAGUGAAUAUAGGACGUCCAACUUAACUUGGAGUCCGAACUCUCACUUUCUAACCCUGUGCACUUGUUUGGGAUAGUAACUCUCGCAAGAGAGCGAACUCCUAUUCACUUAUAAACACAAAGUCUAUGAAUGUAUUAAAUUUUAUAACAAAAUAAAACUUUCAACAACGGAUCUCUUGGCUCUCGCAUCGAUGAAGAACGCAGCGAAAUGCGAUAAGUAAUGUGAAUUGCAGAAUUCAGUGAAUCAUCGAAUCUUUGAACGCACCUUGCGCUCCAUGGUAUUCCGUGGAGCAUGCCUGUUUGAGUGUCAUGAAUACUUCAACCCUCCUCUUUCUUAAUGAUUGAAGAGGUGUUUGGUUUCUGAGCGCUGCUGGCCUUUACGGUCUAGCUCGUUCGUAAUGCAUUAGCAUCCGCAAUCGAACUUCGGAUUGACUUGGCGUAAUAGACUAUUCGCUGAGGAAUUCUAGUCUUCGGAUUAGAGCCGAGUUGGGUUAAAGGAAGCUUCUAAUCAGAAUGUCUACAUUUUAAGAUUAGAUCUCAAAUCAGGUAGGACUACCCGCUGAACUUAAGCAUAUCA